rnacentral:rRNA from 1 species
UACAGAGGUCUCAGGCGUUGUUCGGAUUCAUUGGGCGUAAAGGGUGCGUAGGUGGCGCCGUAAGUCGGGUGUGAAAUUUCGGAGCUUAACUCCGAAACUGCAUUCGAUACUGCGGUGCUUGAGGACUGGAGAGGAGACUGGAAUUCAUGGUGUAGCAGUGAAAUGCGUAGAGAUCAUGAGGAAGACCAGUGGCGAAGGCGGGUCUCUGGACAGUUCCUGACACUGAGGCACGAAGGCCCAGGGGAGCAAACGGG